rnacentral:rRNA from 1 species
UACGUAGGGGGCAAGCGUUGUCCGGAUUUAUUGGGCUUAAAGAGCGUGUAGGCGGCCAGACAGGUCCGUUGUGAAAACUCGAGGCUCAACCUCGAGAUGUCGUUGGAAACCGUCUGGCUAGAGUCCGGAAGAGGAGUGUGGAAUUCCUGGUGUAGCGGUGAAAUGCGCAGAUAUCAGGAAGAACACCGAUGGCGAAGGCAGCACUCUGGGACGGUACUGACGCUGAGACGCGAAAGCGUGGGGAGCGAACAGG